rnacentral:rRNA from 1 species
GACGAACGCUGGCGGCGUGCUUAACACAUGCAAGUCGAACGAUGAACCCGGAGCUUGCUCCGGCGGAUUAGUGGCGAACGGGUGAGUAACACGUGAGUAACCUGCCCUUGACUCUGGGAUAACUGCUAGAAAUGGUAGCUAAUACCGGAUACGACCCUCGGUGGCAUCACCAGGGGGUGGAAAGAAUUUCGGUCAAGGAUGGACUCGCGGCCCAUCAGCUAGUUGGUGAGGUAACGGCUCACCAAGGCGACGACGGGUAGCCGGCCUGCGAGGGUGACCGGCCACACCGGGACUGAGACACGGCCCAGACUCCUACGGGAGGCGGCAGUGGGGAAUAUUGCACAAUGGGCGCAAGCCUGAUGCAGCAACGCCGCGUGAGGGAUGACGGCCUUCGGGUUGUAAACCUCUUUUAGUAGGGAAGAAGCGAAAGUGACGGUACCUGCAGAAAAAGCACCGGCUAACUACGUGCCAGCCGCCGCCGUAAUAC